rnacentral:rRNA from 1 species
UCUCAGUUCGGAUCGGAGUCUGCAACCCGACUCCGUGAAGCUGGAUUCGCUAGUAAUCGCGCAUCAGCCAUGGCGCGGUGAAUACGUUCCCGGGCCUUGUACACACCGCCCGUCAAGCCAUGGGAGCCGGGGGUGCUUGAAGUGCGUCGCCGCGAGGCGCGCCCUAGAGCAAAACCGGUGACUGGGGCUAAGUCGUAACAAGGUACC